AUUUCUGUUUAAUAUUUCUCAACAGGAAUGAACCUGAGUUUUCGAAAUGCAGAUCUACACAAGCCCUGUACGACACAUGCACAAGAACUCACGGCAG